UACGUAGGGGGCAAGCGUUGUUCGGAAUUACUGGGCGUAAAGCGUGCGUAGACGGUUAUUUAAGUCGGAUGUGAAAGCCCUGGGCUUAACCUGGGAAUUGCAGUCGAUACUACUCAGCUAGAGUAUGGGAGAGGGCAGUGGAAUUCCCGGUGUAGCGGUGAAAUGCGUAGAUAUCGGGAGGAACAUCAGUGGCGAAGGCGGCUGCCUGGCCCAAUACUGACACUCAGGUGCGACAGCGUGGGGAGCAAACAGG
rnacentral:rRNA from 1 species